rnacentral:lncRNA from 1 species
CCGAAAGUUUCUCGUAACUAUCGAUUUGGUGGAAACGAGAGACAUAUCAAUCCAGCUUGCGAACAACACAAUUCGAAACCCUGCAAUUAUUUUUAUUUUUUUUGAUAUUUUUCUUUUACUUAGGAGGACUCAAGAAGUAACCACAGGAAAUUUGAGCUUAAACAAGUGAAAGACGUGGCCUGUGGAAUUUUUUGAAGAUUGUGAAAAAUAUGAAAAAAAAAUUUAGGACGUGAAAACUCAAACUUCAGAGGCGAAUUUGGGGAUUCUAAAAUUGUCGAACUCGCCAAAGGCGAGGAUAGAUAGAUCCAAAAAAAUUUUCUGAUCGAUUCUGGUAUAUGGAACGUCAAAAUUGGAGUUCGUAUGCGAAAGUUAUGGCUGUUUUACGAACGGAAUCCGAAUUAGAGGACAAAACGGUCCUGAAGUGAGAAAAAUUUGCGGUGUUGGCUAGAAAUUGAUGGAAACAGUGGGAAAAAACACACAAACUCGACUGCAACAAGACCUAACCAGUAUCAGGACGUCGACCAGGACACAAACUCAACACUACGGACUCUGAAACUGAAAUAUGCAAAGGCUAUGGCCCGGAUGGGUUGUAGGACAUGAAAACAAUAUGGCACUAGACUUAUGGGACGAACACAAGGACACUUGAAACUAAGGGUAGAUGUGAACCUAACGGUAUGUUUGAAGCUUUGAUUACCACUUGAGGAGAACAAGUGUGGCCCGAUCUUCCGAAAGUUUCUCAUAACUAUCGAUUUGGUGGAAACGAGAGACAUAUCAAUCCAGUUUGCGAACAAUACAAUUCGAACCAUGCAAUUCUUUUUUUUUUGAUAUUUUUCUUUUACUUAGGAGCACUCAAGAAGUAACCAUAGGAAAUUUGAGCUUAAACAAUUGAAAGACGUGGCCUGUGGAAUUUUUUGAAGAUUGUCAAAAAUAUGAAAAAAACUAGGAGGUGAAAACUCAAACUUCGGAGGCAAAUUUGGGGAUUCUAAAAUUGUCGAACCCGCCAAAGGCGGGGAUAGACAGAUCCAAAAAUUUUUUCUGAUCGAUUUUGAUAUAUGGAACGUCAAAAUUAGAGUUCGUAUACGAAAGUAAUGGCUGUUUUACGAACGAACUCCGAAUUAGAGGACAAAACGGUCCGGAAGUGGAAAAAAUUUGCGGUGGUGGCUAGAAAUUGAUGGAAAUAGUGGGAAAAAACACAUAAACUGGACUGUAACAAGAUCUAACCAGUAACAAGACCUCGACCAGGACACAAACUCAACACUACGGACUCUGAAACUGAAAUAUGCAAAGGCUAUGGCGCGGAUGGGUUGUAGGACAUGAAAACAAUAUGGCACUAGACUUAUGGGACGAACACAAGGACACUGGAUAGAUGUGAACCUAACGGUAUUUCUGAAGCUUUGAUUACCACUUGAGGAGAACAAGUGUGGCCCGAUCUUCCGAAAGUUUUUGGUAACUAUCGAUUUGGUGGAAACGAGAGACAUGUCAAUCCAGCUUGUCAACAACACAAUUCGAAACCCUGCAAUUCUUUUUUUUUGAUAUUUUUCUUUACUUAGGACCACUCAAGAAGUAACCACAGGGAAUUCGAGCUUAAACAAGUGAAAGACGUGGCCUGUGGAAUUUUUUGAAGAUUGUGAAAAAUAUGAAAAAAAAACUUUAGGAGGUGAAAGCUCAAACUUCAGAGGCGAAUUUGGGGAUUCUAAAAUUGUCGAACCCGCCAACGGCGGGCAUAGACUGAUCUAAAAAUUUUUUCUGAUGGAUUGUGAUAUAUGGAACGUCAAAAUUAGAGUUCGUAUGCGAAAGUUAUGGCUGUUUUACGAAUGGACUCCGAAUUAGAGGACAAAACAGUGAGGAAGUGGGAAAAUUUUGCGGUGGUGGCUAGAAAUUGAUGGAAACAGUGAGAAAAAACACACAAACUAGACUGUAACAAGACCUAACCAGUAACAAGACCUCGACCAUGGACUCUGAAACUGAAAUAUGCAAAGGCUAUGGCGCAGAUGGGUUGUAGGACAUGAAAACAAUAUGGCACUAGACUUAUGGGACGAACACAAGGACACUUGAAACUAAGGAUAGUUGUGAACCUAACGGUAUGUCUGAAGCUUUGAUUACCACUUGAGGAGAACAAGUGUGACCCGAUCUUCCGAAAGUUUCACGUAACUAUCGAUUUGGUGGAAACGAGAGACAUAUCAAUCCAGCUUGCGAACAACACAAUUCGAAACCCUGCAAUUUUUUUUAUUUUUUUUUUGAUAUUUUUCUUUUACUUAGGAGCACUCAAGAAGUAACCACAGGAAAUUUAAGCUUAAACAAGUGAAAGACCUGGCCUGUGGAAUUUUUUGAAAAUUGUGAAAAAUAUGAAAAAAAACAUUAGGAGGUGAAAACUCAAACUUCUGAGGCGAAUUUGGGGAUUCUAAAAUUAUCGAACUCGCCAAUGGCAAUAGACAGAUCCAAAUUUUUUUUCUGAUCGAUUCUGGUAUAUGGAACGUCAAAAUUAGAGUUCGUAUGCGAAGGUUAUGGCUGUUUUACGAACGGACUCCGAAUUAGAGAACAAAAGGGUCCGAAAGUGAGAAACAUUUGCGGUGGUGGCUAGAAAUUGAUGGAAACAGUGGGAAAAAAUACACAAACUGGACUGUAACAAGACCUAACCAGUAUCAAGACGUCGACCAGGACACAAACUCAAUACUACGGACUCUGAAACUGAAAUAUGCAAAGGCUAUGGCGCGGAUGGGUUGUAGGACACGAAAACAAUAUGGCACUAGACUUAUGGGAUGAACACAAGGACACUUGAAACUAAGGAUAGAUGUGAACCUAACGGUAUGUCUGAAGCUUUGAUUACCACUUGAAGAGAACAAGUGUGGCCCGAUCUUCCGAAAGUUUCUCGUAACUAUCGAUUUGGUGGAAACGAGAGACAUAUCAAUCCAGCUUGCGAACAACACAAUUCGAAACCCUGCAAUUCUUUUUAUUUUUAUUUUUUUGAUAUUUUUCAUUUAUUUAGGAGCACUUAAAAAGUAACCACAGGAAAUUUGAGCUUAAACAAGUGAAAGACGUGGCCUGUGGAUUUUUUUGAAGAUUGUGAAAAAUAUGAAAAAAAACUUUAGGAGGUAAAAACUCAAACUUCAGAGGUGAAUUUGGCGAUUCUAAAAUUGUCGAACCCGCCAAAGGCAGGAUAGACAGAUCCAAAAAUUUUUUCUGAUGGAUUUUGAUAUAUGGAACGUCAAAAUUAGACUUCGUAUGCGAAAGUUAUGGCUGUUUUACGAACGAACUCCGAAUUAGAGGACAAAACGGUCCGGAAGUGGGAAAAAAUUUGCGGUGGUGGCUAGAAAUUGAUGGAAAUAGUUAGAAAAAACACACAAAUUGGACUGUAACAAGACCUAACCAGUAACAAGACCUCGACCAGGACACAAACUUAACACUACGGACUCUGAAACUGAAAUAUGCAAAGGCUAUGGCGCGGAUGGGUUGUAGGAUAUGAAAACAAUAUGGCACUAGACUUAUGGGACGAACACAAGGAAACUUGAAACUUAGGGUAGAUGUGAACCUAACCGUAUGCCUGAAGCUUUGAUUACCACUUGAGGAGAACAAGUGUGGCUCGAUCUUCCGAAAGUUUCUCGUAACUAUCGAUUUGGUGGAAACGAGAGACAUAUCAAUCCAGCUUGCGAACAACACAAUUCGAAACCCUGCAAUUCUUUUUAUUUUUACUUUUUGAUAUUUUUCUUUUACUUAGGAGUACUCAAGAAGUAACCACAGGAAAUUUGAGCUUAAACAAGUGAAAGACGUGGCCUGUGGAAUUUUUUGAAGAUUGUGAAAAAUAUGAAAAAAAAAUUUAGGACGUGAAAACUCAAACUUCAGAGGCGAAUUUGGGGAUUCUAAAAUUGUCGAACUCGCCAUAGGCGAGGAUAGAUAGAUCCAAAAAAUUUUUCUGAUCGAUUCUGGUAUAUGGAACGUCAAAGUUGGAGUUGGUAUGCGAAAGUUAUGGCUGUUUUACGAACGGACUCCGAAUUAGAGGACAAAACGGUCCGGAAGUGAGAAAAAUUUGUGGUGGUGGCUAGAAAUUGAUGGAAACAGUGGGAAAAAACACACAAACUCGACUGCAACAAGACCUAACCAGUAUCAAGACGUCGAGCAGGACACAAACUCAACACUACGGACUCUGAAACUGAAAUAUGCAAUGGCUAUGGCCCAGAUGGGUUGUAGGACAUGAAAACAAUAUGGCACUAGACUUAUGGGACGAACACAAGGACACUUGAAACUAAGGGUAGAUGUGAACCUAACGGUACGUUUGAAGCUUUGAUUACCACAUGAGGAGAACAUGUGUGGCCCGAUCUUCCGAAAGUUUCUCGUAACUAUCGAUUUGGUGGAAACGAGAGACAUAUCAAUCCAGUUUGCGAACAACACAAUUCGAACCCUGCAAUUCUUUUUUUUGAUAUUUUUCUUUUACUUAGGAGCACUCAAGAAGUAACCACAGGAAAUUUGAGCUUAGACAAGUGAAAGACGUGGCCUGUGGAAUUUUUUGAAGAUUGUCAAAAAUAUGAAAAAAAACUUUAGGAGGUGAGAGGCGAAUUUUGGGAUUCUAAAAUUGUCGAACCUGCCAUAGGCAGAGAUAGACAGAUCCAAAUUUUUUUUCUCUGAACGAUUUUGAUAUAUGGAACGUCAAAAUUAGAGUUCGUAUGCGAAAGUUAUGGCUGUUUUACCAACGGACUCCGAAUUAGAGGACAAAACGGUCCGGAAGUGGGAAAAAUUUAGGGUAGUGGCUAGAAAUUGAUGGAAACAGUGGGAAAAAACACACAAACUGGACUCGUAACGAGAGACAUAUCAAUCCAGCUUGCGAACAACACAAUUCGAAACCCUGCAAUGCUUUUUAUUUUUAUUUUUUGAUAUUUUUCUUUUACUUAGGAGCACUCAAGAAGUAACCACAGGAAAUUUGAGCUUAAACAAGUGAAAGACGUGGCCUGUGGAAUUUUUUGAAGAUUGUGAAAAAUAUGAAAAAAAAUUUAGGAGGUGAAAAGUCAAACUUCAGAGUUGAAUUUGGGGAUUCUAAAAUUAUCGAACCCGCCAAAGGCGGGCAUAGACGGAUCCAAAAAUUUUUUCUGAUCGAUUUUGAUAUAUGGAACGUCAAAAUUAGAGUUCGUAUGCGAAAGUAAUGGCUGUUUUACGAACGAACUCCGAAUUAGAGGACAAAACGGUCCGUAAGUGGGAAAAAUUUGCGGUGGUGGCUAGAAAUUGAUGGAAAUAGUGGGAAAAACACAUAAACUGGACUGUAACAAGACCUCGACCAGGACACAAACUCAACACUACGGACUCUGAAACUGAAAUAUGCAAAGGCUAUGGCGCGGAUAGGUUGUAGGACAUGAAAACAAUAUGGCACUAGACUUAUGGGAUGAACACAAGGACACUUGAAACUAAGGAUAGAUGUGAACCUAUGUCUGAAGCUUUGAUUACCACUUGAGGAGAACAAGUGUGGCCCGAUCUUCCGAAAGUUUUUGGUAACUAUCGAUUUGGCGGAAACGAGAGACAUGUCAAUCCAGCUUGUCAACAACACAAUUCGAAACCCUGCAAUUCUUUUUUUUGAUAUUUUUCUUUUACUUAGGAGCACUCAAUAAGUAACCACAGAAAAUUUGAGCUUAAACAAGUGAAAGACGUGGCCUGUGGAAUUUUUUGAAGAUUGUGAAAAAUAUGAAAAAAAACUUUAGGAGGUGAGAACUCAAACUUCAGAGGCGAAUUUGGGGAUUCUAAAAUUGUCGAACCCGCCAACAGCGGGCAUAGACUGAUCUAAAAAAUUUUUCUGAUGGAUUGUGAUAUAUGGAACGUCAAAAUUAGAGUUCGUAUGCGAAAGUUAUGGCUGUUUUACGAACGGACUCCGAAUUAGAGGACAAAACAGUCAGGAAGUGGGAAAAAUUUGCGGUGGUGGCUAGAAAUUGAUGGAAACAGUGAGAAAAAACACACAAACUGGACUGUAACAAGACCUAACCAGUAACAAGACCUCGACCACGGACUCUGAAACUGAAAUAUGCAAAGGCUAUGGCGCGGAUGGGUUGUAGGACAUGAAAACAAUAUGGCACUGGACUUAUGGGACGAACACAAGGACACUUGAAACUAAGGAUAGAUGUGAACCUAACGGUAUGUCUGAAGCUUUGAUUAUCACUUGAGGAGAACAAGUGUGACCAGAUCUUCCAAAAGUUUCACGUAACUAUCGAUUUGGUGGAAACGAGAGACAUAUCAAUCCAGCUUGCGAACAACACAAUUCGAAACCCUACAAUUCUUUUUAUUUUUAUUUUUUGAUAUUUUUCUUUUAUUUAGGAGCACUUAAGAAGUAACCACAGGAAAUUUGAGCUUAAACAAGUGAAAGACCUGGCCUGUGGAAUUUUUUGAAGAUUGUGAAAAAUAUGAAAAAAAAACCUUAGGAGGUGAAAACUCAAACUUCAGAGGCGAAUUUGGGGAUUCUAAAAUUGUCGAACUCGCCAAUGGCAAUAGACAGAUCCAAAUUUUUUUUCUGAUCGAUUCUGGUAUAUGGAACGUUAAAAUUGGAGUUCGUAUGCGAAGGUUAUGGCUGUUUUACGAACGGACUCCGAAUUAGAGAACAAAACGGUCUGAAAGUGAGAAAAAUUUGCGGUGGUGGCAAGAAAUUGAUGAAAACAGUGGAAAAAAAUAUACAAACUGGACUGUAACAAGACCUAACCAGUAUCAAGACGUCGACCAGGACACAAACUCAACACUACGGACUCUGAAACUGAAAUAUGCAAAGGCUAUGGCGCGGAUGGGUUGUAGGACAUGAAAACAAUAUGGCACUAGACUUAUGAGACGAACACAAGGACACUUGAAACUAAAGAUAGAUGUGAACCUAACGGUAUGUCUGAAGCUUUGAUUACCACUUGAAGAGAACAAGUGUGGCCCGAUCUUCCGAAAGUUUCUCGUAACUAUCGAUUUGGUGGAAACGAGAGACAUAUAAAUCCAGCUUGCGAACAACACAAUUCGAAACCCUGCAAUUCUUUUUAUUUUUAUUUUUUGAUAUUUUUCUUUUAUUUAGAAGCACUUAAGAAGUAACCAUAGGAAAUUUGAGCUUAAACAAGUGAGAGACGUGGCCUGUGGAAUUUUUUGAAGAUUGUGAAAAAUAUGAAAAAAAAACUUUAGGAGGUAAAAACUCAAACUUCAGAGGUGAAUUUGGGGAUUCUAAAAUUGUCGAACCCGCCAAAGGCAAGAUAGACAGAUCCAAAAUUUUUUUCUGAUCGAUUCUGGUAUAUGGAACGUCAAAAUUGGAGUUCGUAUGCGAAGGUUAUGGCUGUUUUACGAACGGACUCCGAAUUAGAGAACAAAACGGUCCGAAAGUGAGAAAAAUUUGCGGUGGUGGCUAGAAAUUGAUGGAAACAGUGGGAAAAAAUACACUUAAACUGGAUUGUAACAAGACCUAACCAGUAUCAAGACGUCGACCAGGACACAAACUCAACACUACGGACUCUGAAACUGAAAUAUGCAAAGGCUAUGGCGCGGAUGGGUUGUAGGACAUGAAAACAAUAUGGCACUAGACUUAUGGGAUGAACACCAGGACACUUGAAACUAAGGAUAGAUGUGAACCUAACGGUAUGUCUGAAGCUUUGAUUACCACUUGAGGAGAACAAGUGUGGCCCGAUCUUUUGAAAGUUUUUCGUAACUAUCGAUUUGGUGGAAACGAGAGACAUAUCAAUCCAGCUUGCGAACAACACAAUUCGAAACCCUGCAAUUCUUUUUAUUUUUAUUUUUUGAUAUUUUUCUUUUACUUAGGAGCACUUAAGAAGUAACCAUAGGAAAUUUGAGCUUAAACAAGUGAAAGACGUGGCCUGUGGAAUUUUUUGAAGAUUGUGAAAAAUAUGAAAAAAACUUUAGGAGGUGAAAACUCAAACUUCAGAGGCGAAUUUGGGGAUUCUAAAAUUGUCGAACCCGCCAAAGGCAGGAUAGACAGAUCCAAAAAAAUUUUUUGAUCGAUUUUGAUAUAUGAAACGUCAAAAUUAGAGUUCGUAUGUGAAAGUUAUGGCUGUUUUACAAACGAACUCCGAAUUAGAGGACAAAACGGUCCGGAAUUGGGAAAAAUUUGCGGUGGUGGCUAGAAAUUGAUGGAAAUAGUGGGAAAAAACACACAAACUGGACUGUAACAAGACCUAACCAGUAACAAGACCUCGACCAGGACACAAACUCAACACUACGGACUCUGAAACUGAAAUAUGCAAAGGCUAUGGCGCGGAUGGGUUGUAGGACAUGAAAACAAUAUGGCACUAGACUUAUGGGACGAACACAAGGACACUUGAAACUAAGGGAAGAUUUGAACCUAACGGUAUGUCUGAAGCUUUGAUUACCACUUGAGGAGAACAAGUGUGGCCCGAUCUGCCGAAAGUUUCUCGUAACUAUCGAUUUGGUGGAAACGAGAGACAUAUCAAUCCAGCUUGUGAACAACACAAUUCGAAACCCUGCAAUUCUUUUUAUUUUUAUUUUUUGAUAUUUUUCUUUUACUUAGGGGCACUCAAGAAGUAACCACAGGAAAUUUGAGCUUAAACAAGUGAAAGACGUGGCCUGUGGAAUUUUUUGAAGAUUGUGAAAAAUAUGAAAAAAAAAUUUAGGAGGUGAAAACUCAAACUUCAGAGGUGAAUUUGGGGAUUCUAAAAUUGUCGAACCCCCCAAAGGUGGGGAUAGACAGAUCCAAAAAUUUUUUCUGAUCAACUUUGAUAUAUGGAACGUCAAAAUUAGAGUUCGUAUACGAAAGUUAUGGCUGUUUUACGAACAAACUCCGAAUUAGAGGACAAAACGGUCCGGAAGUGGGAAAAAUUUGCGGUGGUGGCUAGAAAUGGAUGGAAAUAGUGGGAAAAAACAUAGAAACUAGACUCUAACAAGAUCUAACCAGUAACAAGACCUCGACCAGGACACAAACUCAACACUACGGACUCUGAAACUGAAAUAUGCAAAGGCUAUGGCGCGGAUGGGUUGUAGGACAUGAAAACAAUAUGGCACUAGACUUAUGGGACGAACACAAGGACACUUGAAACUAAGGAUAGAUGUGAACCUAACGGUAUGUCUGAAGCUUUGAUUACCACUCGAGGAGAACAAGUGUGGCCCGAUCUUUCGAAAGUUUCUGGUAACUAUCGAUUUGGUGGAAACGAGAGACAUAUCAAUCCAGCUUGCCAACAACAUAAUUCGAAACCCUGCAAUUCUUUUUUUUGAUAUUUUUCUUUUACUUAGGAGCACUCAAGAAGUAACCACAAGAAAUUUGAGCUUAAACAAGUGAAAGACGUAGCCUGUGGAAGUUGAAGAUUGUGAAAAAUAUGAAAAAAAACUUUAGGAGGUGAAAACUCAAAUUUCAGAGGCGAAUUUGGGGAUUCUAAAAUUGUCGAACCCGCCAAAGGAGGGAUAGACAGAUCCAAAAAAUUUUUCUGAUCGAUUUUGAUAUAUGGAACGUGAAAAUUAGAGUUCGUAUGUGAAAGUUAUGGUUGUUUUAUGAACGAACUCCGAAUUAGAGGACAAAACGGUCCGGAAGUGGGAAAAAUUUGCGGUGGUGGGUAGAAAUUGAUGGAAAUAGUUGGAAAAAACAAACAAACUGGACUGUAACAAGAUCUAACCAGUAACAAGACCUCGACCAGGACACAAACUCAACACUACGGACUUUGAAACUGAAAUAUGCAAAGGCUAUGACGUGGAUGGGUUGUAGGACAUGAAAAGAAUAUGGCACUAGACUUAUGGGACGAACACAAGGACACUUGAAAGUAAUGGUAGAUAUGAACCAAACGGUAUGUCUGAAGCUUUGAUUACCACUUGAGGAGAACAAGUGUGGCCCGAUCUUCCAAAAGUUUCUCGUAACUAUCGAUUUGGUGGAAACGAGAGACAUAUCAAUCCAGCUGGCGAACAACACAAUUCGAAACCCUGCAAUUCUUUUUAUUUUUUUGAUAUUUUACUUUUACUUAGGAGCACUCAAGAAGUAACCACAGGAAAUUUGAGCUUAAACAUGUGAAAGACGUGGCCUGUCGAAUUUUUUGAAGAUUGUGAAAAAUAUGAAAAAAAAACUUUAGGAGGUGAAAACUCAAACUUCAUAGGCGAAUUUGAGGAUUCUAAAAUUGUCGAACCCGCCAAAGGAGGGGAUAGACAGAUCCAAAAUUUUUUUCUGAUCGAUUUUGAUAUAUGGAACAUCAAAAUUGGAGUUCGUAUACGAAAGUAUGGCUGUUUUACGAACGGACUCCGAAUUAGAGGACAAAACGGUCCGGAAGUGGGAAAAAUUUGCGGUGGUAGCUAGAAAUUGAUGGAAACAGUUAGAAAAAACACACAAACUGGACUGUAACAAGACCUAACCAUUAACAAGAUCUCGACCAGGACAUAAACUCAACACUACGGACUCUGAAACUGAAAUAUGCAAAGGCUAUGGCGCGGAUGGGUUGUAGGACAUGAAAACAAUAUGGCACUAGACUUAUGGGACGAACACAAGGACACUUGAAACUAAGGGUAGAUGUGACCCUAACGGUAUGUCUGAAGCUUUGAUUACCACUUGAGGAGAACAAGUGUGGCCCGAUCUUCCGAAAGUUUCUCGUAACUAUCGAUUUGGUGGAAACGAGAGACAUAUCAAUCCAGCUUGCGAACAACACAAUUCGAAACCCUGUAAUUCUUUUUUUUUGAUAUUUUUCUUUUACUUAGGAGCACUCAAGAAAUAACCACAGGAAAUUUGAGCUUAAACAAGUGAAAGACGUGGCCUAUGGAUUUUUUUGAAGAUUGUGAAAAAUAUGAAAAAAAAAAUUAGGAGGUGAAAACUCAAACUUCAGAGGCGAAUUUGGGGAUUCUAAAAUUGUCGAACCCGCAAAAGGCAGGGAUAGACAGAUCCAAAAUUUUUUUCUGAACAAUUUUGAUAUAUGGAACGUCAAAAUUAGACUUCGUAUGCGAAAGUUAUGGCUGUUUUACGAACGGACUCCGAAUUAGAGGACAAAACGGUCCGGAAGUGGGAAAAAUUUGCGGUGGUGGCUAGAAAUUGAUGGAAACAGUGGAAAAAACACACAAACUUUACUCUAACAAGACCUAACCAGUAACAAGACCUCGACCAGAACACAAACUCAACACUACGGACUCUGAAACUGAAAUAUGCAAAGGCUAUGGCGCGGAUGGGUUGUAGGACAUGAAAAGAAUAUGGCACUAGACUUAUGGGACGAACACAAGGACACUUGAAACUAAGGGUAGAUAUAAACCUAACGGUAUGUCUGAAGCUUUGAUUACCACUUGAGGAGAACAAGUGUGGCCCGAUCUUCCGAAAGUUUCUCGUAACUAUCGAUUUGGUGGCAACGAGAGACAUAUCAAUCCAGCUGGCGAACAACACAAUUCGAAACCCUGCAAUUCUUUUUAUUUUUUUUGAUAUUUUUCUUUUACUUAGGAGCACUCAAGAAGUAACCAUAGGAAAUUUGAGCUUAAACAAGUGAAAGACGUGGCCUGUGGAAUUUUUUGAAGAUUGUGAAAAAUAUAAAAAAACUUUAGGAGGUAAAAACUCAAACUUCAGAGGCGAAUUUGGGGAUUCUAAAAUUGUCGAACCCGCCAAAGGCGGGGAUAGACAGAUCCAAAAAUUUUUUCUGAACGAUUUUGAUAUAUGGAACGUCAAAAUUAGAGUUCGUAUGCGAAAGUUAUGGCUGUUUUACGAAUGGACUCCGAAUUAGAGGACAGAACGGUCCGGAAGUGGGAAAAAUUUGCGGUGGUGGCUAGAAAUUGAUGGAUACAUUUGGAAAAAGCACACAAACUGGACUGUAACAAGACCUAACCAGUAACAAGAUCUCGACCAGGACACAAACUCAACACUACGGACUCUGAAAUAUGCAAAGGCUGUGGCGCGGAUGGGUUGUAGGACAUGAAAACAAUAUGACACUAGACUUAUGGGACGAACACAAGGACACUUUAAACUAAGGGUAGAUGUGAACCUAACGGUAUGUCUGAAGCUUUGAUUACCACUUGAGGAGAACAAGUGUGGCCCGAUCUUCCGAAAGUUUCUCGUAACUAUCGAUUUGGUGGAAACGAGAGACAUAUCAAUCCAACUUGCGAACAACACAAUUCGAAACCCUCCAAUUCUUUUUUUUGAUAUUUUAAUUUUAUUUAGGAGCACUUAAGAAGUAACCAAAGGAAAUUUGAGCUGAAACAAGUGAAAGACGUGGCCUGUGGAAUUUUUUGAAGAUUGUGAAAAAUAUGAAAAAAAACUUUUGGAGGUGAAAACUCAAACUUCAGAGGCGAAUUUGGGGAUUCUAAAAUUGUCGAACCCGCCAAAGGAGGGAUAGACAGAUCCAAAAUUUUUUUCUGAACAAUUUUGAUAUAUAGAACGUCAAAAUUAGAGUUCGUAUGCGAAAGUUAUGGCUGUUUUACGAACGGACUCCGAAUUAGAGGACAAAACGGUCUGGAAGUGGGAAAAAUUUGCGGUGGUGGCUAGAAUUUGAUGGAAACAGUAGGAAAAAACACACAAACUGGACUGUAACAUGACCUAACCAGUAACAAGACCUCGACCAGGACACAAACUCAACACUACGGACUCUGAAACUGAAAUAUGCAAAGGCUAUGGCGCGGAUGGGUUGUAGGACGUGAAAACAAUAUGGCACUAGACUUAUGGGACGAACACAAGGACACUUGAAACUAAGGGUAGAUGUGAACUUAACGGUAUGUCUGAAGCUUUGAUUACCACUUGAGGAGAACAAGUGUGGCCCAAUCUUCUGAAAGUUUCUCGUAACUAUCGAUUUGGUGGAAACGAGAGACAUAUCAAUCCACCUUGCGAACAACACAAUUCGAAACCCUGCAAUUCUUUUUAUUUUUAUUUUUUGAUAUUUUUCUUUUACUUAGGAGCACUCAAGAAGUAACCACAGGAAAUUUGAGCUUAAUCAAGUGAAAGACGUGGCCUGUGGAACUUUUUGAAGAUUGUGAAAAAUAUGAAAAAAAAUUAGGAGGUGAAAACUCAAACCUCAGAGGCGAAUUUGGGGAUUCUAAAAUUGUCGAACCCGCCAAAGGCGGGGAUAGACAGAUCCAAAAUUUUUUUUCGGAUCGAUUUUGAUAUAUGUAACGUCAUUUUAGAGUUUGUAUGCGAAAGUUAUGGUUGUUUUAUGAACGAACUCCGAAUUAGAGGACAAAACGGUCCGGAAGUGGGAAAAAUUUGCGGUGGUGGCUAGAAAUUGAUGGAAAUAGUGAGAAAAACAAACAAACUGGACUGUAACAAGAUCUAACCAGUAACAAGACCUCGACCAGGACACAAACUCAACACUACGGACUUUGAAACUGAAAUAUGCAAAGGCUAUGACGUGGAUGGGUUGUAGGACAUGAAAAGAAUAUGGCACUAGACUUAUGGGACGAACACAAGGACACUUGAAACUAAGGGUAGAUAUGAACCAAACGGUAUGUCUGAAGCUUUGAUUACCACUUAAGGAGAACAAGUGUGGCGCGAUCUUCCAAAAGUUUCUCGUAACUAUCGAUUUGGUGGAAACGAGAAACAUAUCAAUCCAGCUGGCGAACAACACAAUUCGAAACCCUGCAAUUCUUUUUAUUUUUUUCGAUAUUUUUCUUUUACUUAGGAGCACUCAAGAAGUAACCACAGGAAAUUUGAGCUUAAACAAGUGAAAGACGUGGCCUGUGGAAUUUUUUGAAGAUUGUGAAAAAUAUGAAAAAAAAUUUUAGGAGGUGAAAACUCAAACUUCAGAGGCGAAUUUGGGGAUUCUAAAAUUGUUGAACCCGCCAACGGCAGGGAUAGACAGAUAAAAAAAAAUUUUUGAUCGAUUUUGAUAUAUGGAACGUCAAAAUCGGAGUUCGUAUGCGAAAAUUAUGGCUGUUUUACGAUCGGACUUUGAAUUAGAGGACAAAACGGUCCGGAAGUGGGAAAAAUUUACGGCAGUGGCUAGAAAGCUAUUGAAACGUUUGGAAAAAACACAUAAACUGUACUCUAACAAGACCUAACCUGCAACAAGACCUUGACCAGGACACAAACUCAACACUACGGACUCUGAAACUGAAAUAUGUAAAGGCUAUGGCGCGGAUGAGUUGGAGGACAUGAAAACAAUAUGGCACUAGACUUAUGGGACGAACACAAGGACACUCGAAACUAAGGAUAGAUGUGAACCUAACGAUAUGUCUCAAGCUUUGAUUACCAAUUGAAGAGAACAUGUGUGGCCCGAUCUUCCGAAAGGUUCUGGUAACUAUUGAUUUGGUGGAAACGAGACACAAAUCAAUCCAGCUUGCGAACAAUACGAUCCGAAACCCUACAAUUAUUUUUUUUGAUAUUUUUCUUUUACUUAGGAGCAUUCAAGAAGUAAACACAGGAAAUUUGAGCUUAAACAAGUGAAAAACGUGGCCUGAGGAAAUUUUUUAAGAUUACGAAAAAUAUGAAAAAAAAUUAGGAGGUGAAAACUCAAACUUCAGAGGCGAAUUUGGGGAUCUUAAAAUUGUCGAACCAGUCUAUGGCGGGGAUAGGCAGAUCCAAAAUUUUUUUUAUCGAUUUUGAUAUAAGGAACGUCAAAAUCGGAGCUUGUAUGCGAAAGUUAUGGCUGUUUUACGAACGAACUCCGAAUUAGAGGACAAAAUGGUCCGGAAGUGGGAAAAAUUUACGGUGGUGGCUAGAAAUUGAUGGAAACGAUGGGAAAAAACACACAAAGUGGACUCUAACAAGACAUAACUAGUAACAAGACCCCGACCAGGACACAAACUCAACACUACGGACUCUAAAACUGAAAUAUGCAAAGGCUAUGGCGCGGAUGAGUUGUAGGACAUGAAAACAAUAUGACACUACACUUAUCUGACGAACACAAGGAUACUUGAAACUAAGGGUAGAUGUGAACCUAACGGUAUGUCUGAAACUUUGAUUACCACUUGAGGAGAACAAGUGUGGCCCGAUCUUCUGAAAGGUUCUAGUAACUAUCGAUUUGGUGGAAACGAGACACAAAUCAAUCCAGCUUGCGAACAACACGAUACGAAACCCUACAAUUCUUUUUUUUUGAUAUUUUUCUUUUACUUAGGAGCACUCAAGAAGUAACCACAAGAAAUUUAAGCUUAAACAAGUGAAAGACGUGGCCUGUGGAAAUUUUGAAGAUUGCGAAAAAUAUGAAAAAAAACUUUAGGAGGUAAAAACUCAAAUUUCAGAGGCGAAUUUGUUGAUUUUAAAAUUCUCGAACCAGCCUAUGGUGGGGAUAGACAGAUCCAAAUUUUUUUAUGUUCGAUUUUGAUAUAUGGAACGUCAAAAUCAGAGUUUGUUUGCAAAAGUUAUGGCUGUUUUUCGAACGAACUCCGAAUUAGAUGACAAAAUGGUCCGGAAGUGGGAAAAAUUGCGGUGGUGGCUAGAAAUUGAUGGAAACGGUGGGAAAAAACACAUAAAGUGGACUCUAACAAGACCUAACUAGUAACAAGACCUCGACCAAGACACAAACUCAACACUACGGACUCUGAAACUGAAAUAUGCAAACUCUAUGGCGCGGAUGGGUUGUAGGACAUGAAAACAAUAUGGCACUAGACUUAUGGGACGAACACAAGGACACUCGAAACUAAGGGUAGAUGUGAACCUAACCGUAUGUCUGAAGCUUUGAUUACCACUUGAGGAGAACAAGUGUGGCCCAAUCUUCCGAAAGGUUCUAGUAACUAUGGAUUUGGUGGAAACGAGACACAAAUCAAUCCAGCUUACGAACAACACGAUUCGAAACCCUGCGAUUCUUUUUAUUUUUUUUUGAUAUUUUUAUUUUACUUAGGAGCACUCAGUAAGUAACCACAGGAAAUUUGAGCUUAAACAACUGAAUGACGUGGCCUGUGGAAUUUUUUGAAGAUUGUGAAAAAUAUGAAAAAAACAUUAGGAGGUGAAAACUCAAAUUUCAGAGGCAAAUUUGGGGAUUCUAAAAUUGUCGAACAAGCCUAUGGCGGGGAUGGACAGAUCCAAAAAUUUUUCUAAUCGAUUUAGAUAUAUGGAACGUCGAAAUCGGAGUUCGUAUGCGAAAGUUAUGGCUGUUUUACGAACGGACUCCGAAUUAGAGGACAAAAACGGUUCGGAAGUGGGAAAAAUUUGCGGUGGUGGCUAGAAUUUGAUGGAAACAGUGGGAAAAAACACACAAACUGGACUGUAACAUGACCUAACCAGUAACAAGACCUCGACCAGGACACAAACUCAACACUACGGACUCUGAAACUGAAAUAUGUAAAGGCUAUGGCGCGGAUGGGUUGUAGGACGUGAAAACAAUAUGGCACUAGACUUAUGGGACGAACACAAGGACACUUGAAACUAAGGGUAGAUGUGAACUUAACGGUAUGUCUGAAGCUUUGAUUACCACUUGAGGAGAACUAGUGUGGCCCAAUAUUCUGAAAGUUUCUCGUAACUAUCGAUUUGGUGGAAACGAGAGACAUAUCAAUCCACCUUGCGAACAACACAAUUCGAAACCCUGCAAUUCUUUUUAUUUUUAUUUUUUGGUAUUUUUCUUUUACUUAGGAGCACUCAAGAAGUAACCACAGGAAAUUUGAGCUUAAUCAAGUGAAAGACGUGGCCUGUGGAAUUUUUUGAAGAUUGUGAAAAAUAUGAAAAAAAAUUAGGAGGUGAAAACUCAAACCUCAGAGGCGAAUUUGGGGAUUCUAAAAUUGUCGAACCCGCCAAAGGCGGGGAUAGACAGAUCCAAAAAUUUUUUUCUGAUCAAUUUUGAUAUAUGUAACGUCAUUUUAGAGUUCGUAUGCGAAAGUUAUGGUUGUUUUAUGAACGAACUCCGAAUUAGAGGACAAAACGGUCCGGAAGUGGGAAAAAUUUGCGGUGGUGGCUAGAAAUUGAUGGAAAUAGUGGGAAAAAACAAACAAACUGGACUGUAACAAGAUCUAACCAGUAACAAGACCUCGACCAGGAUACAAACUCAACACUACGGACUUUGAAACUGAAAUAUGCAAAGGCUAUGACGUGGAUGGGUUGUAGGACAUGAAAAGAAUAUGGCACUAGACUUAUGGGACGAACACAAGGACACUUGAAACUAAGGGUAGAUAUGAACCAAACGGUAUGUCUGAAGCUUUGAUUACCACUUGAGGAGAACAAGUGUGGCCCGAUCUUCCAAAAGUUUCUCGUAACUAUCGAUUUGGUGGAAACGAGAGACAUAUCAAUCCAGCUGGCGAACAACACAAUUCAAAACCCUGCAAUUCUUUUUAUUUUUUUCGAUAUUUUUCUUUUACUUAGGAGCACUCAAGAAGUAACCACAGGAAAUUUGAGCUUAAACAAGUGAAAGACGUGGCCUGUGGAAUUUUUUGAAGAUUGUGAAAAAUAUGAAAAAAAAAACUUUAGGAGGUGAAAACUCAAACUUCAUAGGCGAAUUUGGGGAUUCUAAAAUUGUCGAACCCGCCAAAGGAGGGGAUAGACAGAUCCAAAAAUUUUUUCUGAUCGAUUUUGAUAUAUGGAACAUCAAAAUUGGAGUUCGUAUACGAAAGUUAUGGCUGUUUUACGAACGGACUCCGAAUUAGAGGACAAAACGGUCCGGAAGUGGGAAAAAUUUGCGGUGGUAGCUAGAAAUUGAUGGAAACAGUUAGAAAAAACACACAAACUGGACUGUAACAAGACCUAACCAGUAACAAGAUCUCGACCAGGACACAAACUCAACACUACGGACUCUGCAACUGAAAUAUGCAAAGGCCAUGGCGCGGAUGGGUUGUAGGACAUGAAAACAAUAUGGCACUAGACUUAUGGGACGAACACAAGGACACUCGAAACUAAGGAUAGAUGUGAACCUAACGAUAUGUCUGAAGCUUUGAUUACCAAUUGAAGAGAACAUGUGUGGCCCGAUCUUCCGAAAGGUUCUGGUAACUAUUGAUUUGGUGGAAACUAGACACAAAUCAAUCCAGCUUGCGAACAAUACGAUCCGAAACCCUACAAUUAUUUUUUUUGAUAUUUUUCUUUUACUUAGGAGCAUUCAAGAAGUAAACACAGGAAAUUUGAGCUUAAACAAGUGAAAAACGUGGCCUGAGGAAAUUUUUUAAGAUUACGAAAAAUAUGAAAAAAAAAUUAGGAGGUGAAAACUCAAACUUCAGAGGCGAAUUUGGGGAUCUUAAAAUUGUCGAACCAGUCUAUGGCGGGGAUAGGCAGAUCCAAAUAUUUUUUUAUCGAUUUUGAUAUAUGGAACGUCAAAAUCGGAGUUUGUAUGCGAAAGUUAUGGCUGUUUUACGAACGAACUCCGAAUUAGAGGACAAAAUGGUCCGGAAGUGGGAAAAAUUUGUGGUGGUGGCUAGAAAUUGAUGGAAACGAUGGGAAAAAACACACAAAGUGGACUCUAACAAGACAUAACUAGUAACAAGACCUCGACCAGGACACAAACUCAACACUACGGACUCUAAAACUGAAAUAUGCAAAGGCUAUGGCGCGGAUGAGUUGUAGGACAUGAAAACAAUAUGACACUACACUUAUCUGACGAACACAAGGACACUUGAAACUAAGGGUAGAUGUGAACCUAACGGUAUGUCUGAAGCUUUGAUUACCACUUGAGGAGAACAAGUGUGGCCCGAUCUUCUGAAAGGUUCUAGUAACUAUCGAUUUGGUGGAAACGAGACACAAAUCAAUCCAGCUUGCGAACAACACGAUACGAAACCCUACAAUUCUUUUUUUUUAAUAUUUUUCUUUUACUUAGGAGCACUCAAGAAGUAACCACAAGAAAUUUGAGCUUAAACAAGUGAAAGACGUGGCCUGUGGAAAUUUUUGAAGAUUGCGAAAAAUAUGAAAAAAAACUUUAGGAGGUAAAAACUCAAAUUUCAGAGGCAAAUUUGUUGAUUUUAAAAUUGUCGAACCAGCCUAUGGUGGGGAUAGACAGAUCCAAUUUUUUUUCUGUUCGAUUUUGAUAUAUGGAACGUCAAAAUCAGAGUUUGUAUGCAAAAGUUAUGGCUGUUUUUCGAACGAACUCCGAAUUAGAUGACAAAAUGGUCCGGAAGUGGGAAAAAUUGCGGUGGUGGCUAGAAAUUGAUGGAAACGGUGGGAAAAAACACAUAAAGUGGACUCUAACAAGACCUAACUAGUAACAAGACCUCGACCAAGACACAAACUCAACACUACGGACUCUGAAACUGAAAUAUGCAAACUCUAUGGCGCGGAUGGGUUGUAGGACAUGAAAACAAUAUGGCACUAGACUUAUGGGACGAACACAAGGACACUCAAAACUAAGGGUCGAUGUGAACCUAUCUGAAGCUUUGAUUACCACUUGAGUAGAACAAGUGUGGCCCAAUCUUCCGAAAGGUUCUAGUAACUAUGGAUUUGGUGGAAACGAGACACAAAUCAAUCCAGCUUACGAACAACACGAUUCGAAACCCUGCAAUUCUUUUUAUUUUUUUUGAUAUUUUUAUUUUACUUAGGAGCACUCAGUAAGUAACCACAGGAAAGUUGAGCUUAAACAAGUGAAAGACGUGGCCUGUGGAAUUUUUUGGAGAUUGUGAAAAAUAUGAAAAAAAAAACAUUAGGAGGUGAAAACUCAAAUUUCAGAGGCAAAUUUGGGGAUUCUAAAAUUGUCGAACAAGCCUAUGGCGGGGAUG